rnacentral:rRNA from 1 species
UACAUGCAAGUAGAACGCUGAAGAGAGGAGCUUGCUCUUCUUGGAUGAGUUGCGAACGGGUGAGUAACGCGUAGGUAACCUGCCUUGUAGCGGGGGAUAACUAUUGGAAACGAUAGCUAAUACCGCAUAACAAUGGAUGACACAUGUCAUUUAUUUGAAAGGGGCAAUUGCUCCACUACAAGAUGGACCUGCGUUGUAUUAGCUAGUAGGUGAGGUAAUGGCUCACCUAGGCGACGAUACAUAGCCGACCUGAGAGGGUGAUCGGCCACACUGGGACUGAGACACGGCCCAGACUCCUACGGGAGGCAGCAGUAGGGAAUCUUCGGCAAUGGGGGCAACCCUGACCGAGCAACGCCGCGUGAGUGAAGAAGGUUUUCGGAUCGUAAAGCUCUGUUGUAAGUCAAGAACGGGUGUGAGAGUGGAAAGUUCACACUGUGACGGUAGCUUACCAGAAAGGGACGGCUAACUACGUGCCAGCAGCCGCGGUAAUACGUAGGUCCCGAGCGUUGUCCGGAUUUAUUGGGCGUAAAGCGAGCGCAGGCGGUUUGAUAAGUCUGAAGUUAAAGGCUGUGGCUCAACCAUAGUUCGCUUUGGAAACUGUCAAACUUGAGUGCAGAAGGGGAGAGUGGAAUUCCAUGUGUAGCGGUGAAAUGCGUAGAUAUAUGGAGGAACACCGGUGGCGAAAGCGGCUCUCUGGUCUGUAACUGACGCUGAGGCUCGAAAGCGUGGGGAGCGAACAGGAUUAGAUACCCUGGUAGUCCACGCCGUAAACGAUGAGUGCUAGGUGUUGGAUCCUUUCCGGGAUUCAGUGCCGCAGCUAACGCAUUAAGCACUCCGCCUGGGGAGUACGACCGCAAGGUUGAAACUCAAAGGAAUUGACGGGGGCCCGCACAAGCGGUGGAGCAUGUGGUUUAAUUCGAAGCAACGCGAAGAACCUUACCAGGUCUUGACAUCCCGAUGCUAUUUCUAGAGAUAGAAAGUUACUUCGGUACAUCGGUGACAGGUGGUGCAUGGUUGUCGUCAGCUCGUGUCGUGAGAUGUUGGGUUAAGUCCCGCAACGAGCGCAACCCCUAUUGUUAGUUGCCAUCAUUCAGUUGGGCACUCUAGCGAGACUGCCGGUAAUAAACCGGAGGAAGGUGGGGAUGACGUCAAAUCAUCAUGCCCCUUAUGACCUGGGCUACACACGUGCUACAAUGGUUGGUACAACGAGUUGCGAGUCGGUGACGGCGAGCUAAUCUCUUAAAGCCAAUCUCAGUUCGGAUUGUAGGCUGCAACUCGCCUACAUGAAGUCGGAAUCGCUAGUAAUCGCGGAUCAGCACGCCGCGGUGAAUACGUUCCCGGGCCUUGUACACACCGCCCGUCACACCACGAGAGUUUGUAACACCCGAAGUCGGUGAGGUAACCUUUUGGAGCCAGCCC